AUUGAACGCUGGCGGCAUGCCUAACACAUGCAAGUCGAACGGCAGCACGGGAGCUUGCUCCUGGUGGCGAGUGGCGGACGGGUGAGUAAUGCAUAGGAAUCUGCCCAGUAGCGGGGGACAACUUGGGGAAACUCAAGCUAAUACCGCAUACGCCUACGGGGAAAGCGGGGACCGUUCGGGCCUCGCACUAUUGGAUGAGCCUAUGUCAGAUUAGCUUGUUGGUGGGGUAAAGGGCCUACCAAGGCGACGAUCUGUAGCUGGUCUGAGAGGACGAUCAGCCACACUGGGACUGAGACACGGCCCAGACUCCUACGGGAGGCAGCAGUGGGGAAUAUUGCACAAUGGGCGAAAGCCUGAUGCAGCAAUGCCGCGUGUGUGAAGAAAGGCCUGCGGGUUGU
rnacentral:rRNA from 1 species